GACAGAGGGGGCAAGCGUUGUUCGGAAUUACUGGGCGUAAAGGGCGCGUAGGCGGCCUGCUAAGUCGAACGUGAAAUCCCCAGGCUCAACCUGGGAACUGCGUCUGAUACUGGAUGGCUUGAAUCCGGGAGAGGGAUGCAGAAUUCCAGGUGUAGCGGUGAAAUGCGUAGAUACCUGGAGGAAUACCGGUGGCGAAGGCGGCAUCCUGGACCGGCAUUGACGCUGAGGAGCGAAAGCCAGGGGAGCAAACGGG
rnacentral:rRNA from 1 species